CGGGGUGUGGCGCAGCUGGGAGCGCGCUGCGUUUGGGACGCAGAGGUCCGGGGUUCGAAUCCCCGCACCCCGA
rnacentral:tRNA from 1 species